rnacentral:rRNA from 1 species
CACGUAGUUAGCCGGUGCUUCUUAUCUAGGUACCGUCACAAAAAGCUUCGUCCCUAGCGAAAGGAGUUUACAACCCGAAGGCCUUCAUCCCCCACGCGGCGUCGCUGCAUCAGGCUUGCGCCCAUUGUGCAAUAUUCCCCACUGCUGCCUCCCGUAGGAGUCUGGGCCGUAUCUCAGUCCCAAUGUGGCCGUACACCCUCUCAGGCCGGCUACCCGUCGCCGCCUUGGUAGGCCAUUACCCCACCAACAAGCUGAUAGGCCGCGAGCUCAUCCUACACCGAAAAAACUUUCCAACCACCACACUAAAGAUGGUUCCUAUCCGGUAUUAGACCCAGUUUCCCAAGCUUAUCCCGAAGUGCAGGGCAGAUCACCCACGUGUUACUCACCCGUUCGCCACUCGAGUACCCUGCAAGCAGGGCCUUUCCGUUCGACUUGCAUGUGUUAAGCACGCCGCCAGCGUUCGUCCUGAGCCAGGAUCAAACUCU